rnacentral:lncRNA from 1 species
AUCUAACACCCUAACACCCUAGACUAAGCAAGCUGACUACUCAGCCAUGGAGCAAGAAAACACAGAGACAGAGAUAUAAAGCAACAUGAAAUAUGACUGAAAUAAAGUAAUAGGGUUCAGGGGGUUCUUCUCUAUGGUGAGAGAGAUGGAGCCUUCUCCCUUUACAAAGUAUCAAAUCACAAGUCUCCAACUCUAAGGUCUGGUUUCUUCUCCCAAAAACAGCGUAGUAUGAUAAAGAGAAACAGAAAAUAUGAUAUAUCAAAGCCACAGGCGGUUGGGAGAGAAAAUAGGGAUAAUUAGGGCAAAUCCCGUAAUGAUUGUAGUUUCCUUAAAAAUCUCUGCCGCUGGAACACUCACUCGGAACAAUCACUCGGGUUGCUCCGCUAUCCGGAACAGUCAUCAAGACUGUUCUGCGUGAAAACCACCAAAUUGCACUGUUUGCUGCCUUUUUUGUUCCAGCUGGUCCAUCUCCCAUCCAAUGCAACUCCAGACCUGUAAUGACUCGAAAAGGACUAGAAAGACACGAUAAAGACUUGAAAACCAAUUUAAAAGCAUAUAUACAAGAUGUAUAAAACACCAUAUAUCAAUUCCCCCAGACUUAGAUCCUUGUUUGUCCUCAAACAAUGUCAAGUAUCAAGAACAGGGAGAAAGGUUUGAAAGUGUGGGAACUCUCCUAUUCUCAGCAACCAUACUUUAACCACGAAUCUCUGAACCAUACAAGCAGUAAAACUAGGACAACACACCCUUACCGGAACCCCACUGACUGCUGUUCAAAAAUCGGCUCCAUACUCUUCAUCCCAAACCUGAAAAAGCAACACUAUCGAGACAGAACUCCCUACAUUCAUUUAAGAGUAGCGUGAGCUUCUCAUCACAGGCAUCAUUCAGGGUAGACGGUCUAGGUGUGGAACAGGCUAUUUAAUGGUGGAGUUAAAAGUGUUUAGGGGCUACCAUUUCAUUGAAGAGGAUGCAGGAUAUCACACAAAAUGGCAAGAGAGGAUAGAUCCAUUGAUGUCCACAGCCUCUACUCGUUUUUGCUCUAUCUGGUGCGACUGUUCUGAUGACGGAACAGGCAACUGAUUGUUCUGCUUUCCACUUCCUCUACACAUUCUUCAAUACUUGGUACCAACUUCUUGCUCGACCUUUCCAGUGGCUCCAUGUUUCUUUUCUUUCUUCCCCUUCUCCAUCACAUUAAUCUCGUUUUUUUUUUUUUUUUUUAAAGACUGAUAUGGUGAUGUGACGAAGAAGGAGGUACUACAUGAUCGUUCUGAGUGCCACUGGUGGCUCUGAUUCCGCGACCAUUCUGGUUCUCCACCCCUGCUCUUGCGCAGUUCAUUGGUUAUGGAGCGGUUGCUCCCUUAAUCUGUUUGUUCUCCUUUCUGACAGAAUUUCUGCAGCAGUAACGAGUAGGAGGCUGCGUUGAUCCUUUCCUCUCCUACCUUUUUGCACAUAUCUGCACAUAUGACACUGAAAAACAAAUGCAUGAAGGUGGAAUAAAGGCUAAGGUGCAGGGUGGGAACUAGCUAAAGAUGAGCUAGCCACUCAGGAUCAGCAAGAUGGAUAAAAAGGAUAAGAAGUCCUGAGUGUGUUCUCGUUUCCCUGAUCUAAUGCCCAUAACAAGAAGAAUUUCAGUUAAGAUUAGGUUCAAGUAAGGUGGAGUUAAGUCUACCCAGUGUAACCUGAUCGGCUGAGAACUUCUGGAGAAUCAAGUGAGAUAUGUCAGGUUGUUCCAGGUCCACAUGUGUGUCUUUCGCCACUGCUAAGGUCACUGAAUAAGAUAACUAAAGCACGAGGUGGUUAGUGAUCAACACGGAAUAAGGUCCUAAUUCCCACAAAUUUUUGACUGACUCAAUAAAAACUGACUCAAAUUGACCCAAAAGAAAAAAAAACAAAAGAAAGAAACGAGUUAGUAAACGACGAAAACCCUCCCCCAGACUUACUUCACAACGUCCCUGGUGUGAAAAUAAAUCAGAGAGAAGGUGAAAACAAGAAUAAACAUUUUUUUUUUGUUCGAGAUACUUACCUAGCGCGGAACAGCCUGACAGAGCAAGACACAGUUGCUCCGGUAAAGGAUGCUCUGAAAGGAGAGCAGCCAGCUGCUUGCUCCCGUCAAGGGUCUCGGAUUUUCGGAUUUAUGACCUGAGACUCAAUAAACUAAAAACAAAAAUAAGUAAAAAGAAAAUUCUAAUGUUAAUGACACUUACCAGUGGGUUGCCUCCCACCAAGCGCUUGGUUUAAGUCUCUAGCUUGACUUGGUGACUGGGAUCAGUCGGGUUGAGCAGGAGGGCUUGUUCCAAAACAAGCUCCACAAUCAGACAUGUUCAACUUCAGAACUCUGCUCAGCAACCCUUUCACAGCAGCUUCCCCUUUCUCCUUCAGCUCAUGUGUGAGAAUAGCUCUGACUUUAGAGAACGGUUUAGAGGUACCCUUGCACUUUACCUCAUAGUCAAUGGAGUUCUCAUCACACUUGAGAGGUAUCAAAGUCAUUGUAGGAUCUCCCUUGACCCUUUUCUUCUGGACUUUCUGUUUCACCUUUGAAUUCCCUCUGAUUUUAGUAAGAUCAGUGCAUGGAUCUUCAUCAGAUAACAGCCUGCUCUCACCCUUAUCACCAUGCUCCUUCUCUGGAACAACCUUCAGCUUUUCUACAUCAAACACUGAGAUGCGAGAGGCGUGUGAUGAAGAAGAUCUGGUGGGUACAGCCUUGUAGAAAACUUUCUUGUUGAUGUUGGAGAAGCAGACUCUCUUGUUGGACAUAUCGAUGGUUGCUCCAACAGUAGCCAUGAAUGUCCUUCCAAAUAUCAAAGGCAUCUCAUGAUCCUUGUUCAUCUCAACAACUUGAAACUCAGCAGGAACAACGCAUUCCCCUACUUGAACAUUAAGAUUGCGGAUGGUUCCAUAUGGGACUGCUCUGGAAGAGUUUGCAAAGGUUAGGGUUAGCUGAGAACGCUCAACAUCAGCAAUACCCAAAUCGUUUACAAUAGCCUUUGAGACGAGAUUCACACAAGAACCAGAGUCACAAAGAGCAUCCUUGAAGGUUGUUCCUGCGAUGGAACAUGGGAAAACAAACUUCCCAGGAUCAUCAACCUUAGGCAAUACCUUUAGUGCUGGUGUAGACAGUGCUUUGGUAUAGAGGACCUUGAUCUCCUCUUGAGUCUCUCUGCAGUGUUUAAAGAAUUGGAGCAAUGGACGAAUCUGCAGAGCAUCUUCGAAUGCAAGUUCUUUAGGAAGCCUUCUCACCAUCUUGUUAAAACCUAUCAGCUGCUCUUCACUAACGGGAUCCAUCAGAUGUCUAGGUGGAAUUGGAUAGGGAACCUUGGGAACAUAGACUCGAGAUGGUGGAGUCUCAGCAGAUUCGUCAGGAGCAGUUACUGCAGAGCUAGCAGGCUGCUCUGUGUUCUCUUCUGCGCCUAGAACAGUCUCAACGAACGGCUGCUCUAUUGCAUUACAGUGUUCAGUCCUAGGAUUUUUAUCAGUUCUUCCAGGGAGCGUCUCUUGUUGCCUCUUGACAUUCUCAACUGUUUGAGCAAGCUGAACAUCGAUCUUUCUUAUAUGGGUCGCAAGAUUGUCAUACUUGUUAUUCAGCUCAGUGAACAUGUUGCCCAUCCUGGUGUCAAUUUCUGUGGUUACCUGAUUCAACACCUUGGCCUGAACCUGCUGACCCUGCAACAGUUGUUGCAUCAUCAUACCCAGACCAUUCAGCUCAUCUGGUUGACUAUUCCCGUUAGCUGGAACAACUUGUUGAUUGCUCUGCGGUUGUCGCUGGUUCUGAUUCUGAAUCUGCUCGGACGUAGCUUGCUCCAUGUUGAAGAUGUGCCCAUGGUUGUUUUUCAGUAGCUGAUCAACCUUAGCAGUCAGCUCAUCUAUCUUCUGGGUGUCAGAACUGUUCCCUUUCUUGGAGCAAUCACUCUCCUCUUUCUUAUUAGCUGAGCUAGCAGCCAUGUUCUCAAUCAGCUUAAACGCUCCAUUAGUGGUUUGAGUCAUGAAGUCUCCAUUGCUCGCAGAGUUUAGAGCACCUUGGUAUUUCCAGUCCACUCCAUCAUAGAAAAUGUCCAGGAGGUAAUCAUCAUCAAAUCCAUGGUGAGGACAUUCUCUGCGAUAUUCAUUGAAGCGCUCCCACGUGUCGCAGAAAGGCUCAUCAGUGAGCUGUCUAAAGGAGGUGAUCUUGUUCCUCAAUGCAGCUGUUCUCGCCUUAGAGUAGAAAUGGCUGAGGAACGCUGAUCGGACCUGUUCCCAUGAAGUGAGAGAGCUGGUAGGGAGAGAGUUCAGCCACCGUGCAGCUUUUCCAUCAAGAGAGAAUGGGAAUAACAUGCACGUGAUGUAGUCUGGUGGAACACCAUUCACGCGAGUGAAACUGCAGACUUUUUCGAAGCUCUCAAUAUGCUCCAUUGGAAUUUCUGUAGAGAGACCAGAGAACACUUUUCUCUGUACUAGACCGAUCAAAGCAGGCUUGAUCUCGAAGUCCUGCCUGGUGCAGAGUGGAGGAACAAUGGCAGAGCGCGUAGUAGGGAUGUUACGCGGAAGGUUUCUCUGUCCGAUUGGAACAGUAUGCGCCUGUUGUUCCUGCUGCGCGAGAGCAGCCUGUUCAGCAGCAUCCUGCUGAGCUUGGAUGGUCUGCUGCAUUUGUUGCAUCUGCUGCUGCAUGAGUGCCAUAGCCGCAGUGAGAUCAUCCUGAUUGGCGUGAUCACCCAUAGUGGUGUCAGUUUGCCUUGGCUGUUGACGAUUUGUUCUUUCUAACCUUGCUAGCUCCUGGUUGGUAAAUGUAACUAACUCUCCUUGUGCGUUUCUCCGAGUAUGUCUACUGGUCAUGCACCUGGAACAUUAGCUGCAACAAAAAGGAUAAGGCAAGUUAGAGGUCUUAGACUAAAUAAAUAACCGAAAAAUAAAGGUAAAAAGAUGGUCCCCGGCAACGGCGCCAAUUUGAUAUUACGUGUAUACGCACACCAAAUAACCUAAUGUGCACACUACCACAAUCGAAUGGUAUGUCGAUGUAGCACUUUAGGAUCGAAUCCACAGAGACCAACGGUUACACUUUAUCUUUAUGGGAUCAAUACUUAGCUAAAACAAUAUGGGGGUUUUAAGAUUAAGGUUUCGUAACAAGCAAGUAACAAGAUUAAUUAAAGAUUUCAGAUAAUUAAAAUGCUAGCCUAGGGUGGUUUGAUCGGGUGUUAAACAAGUGUGAGCCAAACAAUUAUUCAAGUUUAAUUAAGAGCAAGUCUAGAACUCGGAUCACUCAAGUAGAACAGCCCACUGUCGUGGAACUGCCCCCUAUGCUGAUCGAUCUUGAUACCUAAACUCUCGUUUGGAUCAAGAUGCGACAGCAAGCAAUAGAGGUCAAGUCCGAUAUGUUCACAAAACACCCUAACAUCUACUUUCGCUGGUUAGGGAUGCAAUGCUCAUUCAAGUUAUGUCUAGCAACCUAUAACACUUUUGAUGAAUAGAUUAAACCUAGAAUCAGGCACUAAGUGGUUAACUUGAUGCAAGCCUUAAGAACAACAGUGAAUGAAGACAAUCGAUUUAUAACUUAUUUAUGUCAAGCUCACGGAUCUAACACCCUAACACCCUAGACUAAGCAAGCUGACUACUCAGCCAUGGAGCAAGAAAACACAGAGACAGAGACUGAAUAAAACAUGUGUAGAUAAAAUAGAAUAAGGGUUCAGGGGGUUCUUCUCUAUGGUGAGAGAGAUGGAGCCUUCUCCCUUUACAAAGUAUCAAAUCACAAGUCUCCAACUCUAAGGUCUGGUUUCUUCUCCCAAAAACAGCGUAGAAUGAUAAAGAGAAACAGAAAAUAUGAUAUAUCAAAGCCACAGGCGGCUGGGAGAGAAAAUAGGGAUAAUUAGGGCAAAUCUCGUAAUGAUUGUAGUUUCCUUAAAAAUCUCUGCCGCUGGAACACUCACUCGGAACAAUCACUCGGGUUGCUCCGCUAUCCGGAACAGUCAUCAAGACUGUUAUGCGUGAAAACCACCAAAUUGCACUGUUUGCUGCCUCUUUUGUUCCAG